GUUAAGCGACUAAGCGUACACGGUGGAUGCCCUGGCAGUCAGAGGCGAUGAAGGACGUGCUAAUCUGCGAUAAGCGUCGGUAAGGUGAUAUGAACCGUUAUAACCGGCGAUUUCCGAAUGGGGAAACCCAGUGUGUUUCGACACACUAUCAUUAACUGAAUCCAUAGGUUAAUGAGGCGAACCGGGGGAACUGAAACAUCUAAGUACCCCGAGGAAAAGAAAUCAACCGAGAUUCCCCCAGUAGCGGCGAGCGAACGGGGAGGAGCCCAGAGCCUGAAUCAGUGUGUGUGUUAGUGGAAGCGUCUGGAAAGGCGCGCGAUACAGGGUGACAGCCCCGUACACAAAAAUGCACAUGCUGUGAGCUCGAUGAGUAGGGCGGGACACGUGGUAUCCUGUCUGAAUAUGGGGGGACCAUCCUCCAAGGCUAAAUACUCCUGACUGACCGAUAGUGAACCAGUACCGUGAGGGAAAGGCGAAAAGAACCCCGGCGAGGGGAGUGAAAAAGAACCUGAAACCGUGUACGUACAAGCAGUGGGAGCACGCUUAGGCGUGUGACUGCGUACCUUUUGUAUAAUGGGUCAGCGACUUAUAUUCUGUAGCAAGGUUAACCGAAUAGGGGAGCCGAAGGGAAACCGAGUCUUAACUGGGCGUUAAGUUGCAGGGUAUAGACCCGAAACCCGGUGAUCUAGCCAUGGGCAGGUUGAAGGUUGGGUAACACUAACUGGAGGACCGAACCGACUAAUGUUGAAAAAUUAGCGGAUGACUUGUGGCUGGGGGUGAAAGGCCAAUCAAACCGGGAGAUAGCUGGUUCUCCCCGAAAGCUAUUUAGGUAGCGCCUCGUGAAUUCAUCUCCGGGGGUAGAGCACUGUUUCGGCAAGGGGGUCAUCCCGACUUACCAACCCGAUGCAAACUGCGAAUACCGGAGAAUGUUAUCACGGGAGACACACGGCGGGUGCUAACGUCCGUCGUGAAGAGGGAAACAACCCAGACCGCCAGCUAAGGUCCCAAAGUCAUGGUUAAGUGGGAAACGAUGUGGGAAGGCCCAGACAGCCAGGAUGUUGGCUUAGAAGCAGCCAUCAUUUAAAGAAAGCGUAAUAGCUCACUGGUCGAGUCGGCCUGCGCGGAAGAUGUAACGGGGCUAAACCAUGCACCGAAGCUGCGGCAGCGACGCUUAUGCGUUGUUGGGUAGGGGAGCGUUCUGUAAGCCUGUGAAGGUGUGCUGUGAGGCAUGCUGGAGGUAUCAGAAGUGCGAAUGCUGACAUAAGUAACGAUAAAGCGGGUGAAAAGCCCGCUCGCCGGAAGACCAAGGGUUCCUGUCCAACGUUAAUCGGGGCAGGGUGAGUCGACCCCUAAGGCGAGGCCGAAAGGCGUAGUCGAUGGGAAACAGGUUAAUAUUCCUGUACUUGGUGUUACUGCGAAGGGGGGACGGAGAAGGCUAUGUUGGCCGGGCGACGGUUGUCCCGGUUUAAGCGUGUAGGCUGGUUUUCCAGGCAAAUCCGGAAAAUCAAGGCUGAGGCGUGAUGACGAGGCACUACGGUGCUGAAGCAACAAAUGCCCUGCUUCCAGGAAAAGCCUCUAAGCAUCAGGUAACAUCAAAUCGUACCCCAAACCGACACAGGUGGUCAGGUAGAGAAUACCAAGGCGCUUGAGAGAACUCGGGUGAAGGAACUAGGCAAAAUGGUGCCGUAACUUCGGGAGAAGGCACGCUGAUAUGUAGGUGAAGCGACUUGCUCGUGGAGCUGAAAUCAGUCGAAGAUACCAGCUGGCUGCAACUGUUUAUUAAAAACACAGCACUGUGCAAACACGAAAGUGGACGUAUACGGUGUGACGCCUGCCCGGUGCCGGAAGGUUAAUUGAUGGGGUCAGCGCAAGCGAAGCUCUUGAUCGAAGCCCCGGUAAACGGCGGCCGUAACUAUAACGGUCCUAAGGUAGCGAAAUUCCUUGUCGGGUAAGUUCCGACCUGCACGAAUGGCGUAAUGAUGGCCAGGCUGUCUCCACCCGAGACUCAGUGAAAUUGAACUCGCUGUGAAGAUGCAGUGUACCCGCGGCAAGACGGAAAGACCCCGUGAACCUUUACUAUAGCUUGACACUGAACAUUGAGCCUUGAUGUGUAGGAUAGGUGGGAGGCUUUGAAGUGUGGACGCCAGUCUGCAUGGAGCCGACCUUGAAAUACCACCCUU
rnacentral:rRNA from 1 species